rnacentral:tRNA from 1 species
GGUCCGGCGUCGGCCGGUACGGGCAGGUCGCGGACCUUCUGGCCGUCCUUCCAGACGGUUCCGAUCCCGCUGCCGGAGCG